rnacentral:rRNA from 1 species
UACGAAGGGGGCUAGCGUUGCUCGGAAUCACUGGGCGUAAAGGGUGCGUAGGCGGGUCUUUAAGUCAGGGGUGAAAGUCCUAGGAGCUCAACUCCAGAACUGCCUUUGAUACUGAGGAUCUUGAGUUCGGGAGAGGUGAGUGGAACUGCGAGUGUAGAGGUGAAAUUCGUAGAGUAUUCGCAAGAACACCAGUGGCGAAGGCGG